CUUCUCUUCCCCACUCUUCCGCUAUCACUUCAUGCAUUCUCUCCGCACAGAAUUUGGCCACCUGAGAGCCACCGUGACCGUCGUACACGGCGAAGAAAUGGAGAGGCGAGAUCUCUCCGGAGGUUCUAGAACCUGGAGCCGUACAUCCUCCGACGUGAUCGCAUCUUGAAGACAUGAAUCCAGGCUUAACAGCGAUAGCGUCCUCCAUCUCCCUCCGCCUUCCGAUAACCGAAGUAAGUCCCCAGUGUACUCCCGCUCUAUUAGUCCUCCCGAUGCACUUCCGUCUCGCCGGUUCCGAUACCGGCGUUGUAAGGUCUACAGACCUCGUCUCCGAAGCAGCCUCCGCUACAAUAACAGCCGGAAUCUCACCGGAACUAGUACUGGUGACGGAGACGUCGCCGGAACUAGAGGAGCUUCGGAAAUCAUCUGUGCUGAGUACGGAUGAUAAACCGGAACUGGUGGAUGUGAAUUCGAG
rnacentral:misc_RNA from 1 species